ACCUUCUCAGGGUCACACCUGGAGAGUUUUCAGUACUCUACCAGUCUUGACUACGGGAAGGAGAGUCAAGAAGAGGUAGACCCAUUCCAGUCCUAGCUUGGCCAGUGGCUAGAAAAGGGAAGGCAAUCUGCUACAAGU